CCCUAGAUUAUUCUGCCCCCCCCGUAGUUGUGACUAAUUACUUUUAGUAGCAGCUAUUUGUCCGGCAAGGCAGUUCGGCAAGGAAGCGAAGGAAGGAAACGAAAAUGUUGACUGGCAGUUAAUGGAAAAGUUUUGGUUGUGGUCAGCUAGCUGCACAAGCUGAUCUAGCUACCCUUGUUGUCUGUUUUUUAUCAGAGAUGUCUAAAUAUUGCCAUGACCAGAAAUUACUUUGCAGAAAAGCUAUCAUCGUCACGAACUACCAAAGAAAACAACAGAAAAGAGGAAAACAGACAAAUUCGUUAAAAAGACAACAGAAUUUGAAGAAAAGCAAAGAAUUCAAAUUUUUGGAGAAUUGGCCGACCCUCCAAAAACACCGCUUCUGAAAUUAAAACUGGGUAAUGUUUUUAUGGUUACGAAUAUGAAAAUAACAAUGUACAUAUACAAGGAAAAGAAAUUUCCAAUUAUAAUUUAA